AGUAAAUUGAAUAUAUAUAAUGAUAUAAUAAUAAUAAUGACCAGUGCUGACUUUGAUUACAUAACUCUUGUGCAGUGCCGUCUAUUAAAACACUGGUGGGGUGUUUCAAAAUUUAGUUCCAACUCUCAUCUCCUUGAUGAAUCUGGUUGGGUGGGUGCUGGAGAUAUUCCCCAAAAUUACUUUAGAUUAAAUACUCCUUUACCAUCGCUGAUUUGUGAUGGCAUUCAGACCUCUCCAAAUGUGACCCUGUUGCGUGGGCCAAUGAGGAAAACGAUGGGGUGGUGGAUUGGGAUGGCUUACCAUAACCUUUGGUGUAGCAUAGCUAAUUGUUACCACCUUAAUAAUGCUUGCUCAUGUAAGCUGUGCGGUAAUUCCGUAAACCUCACCAGGCAGCAUUUACUGGUGUGUCCUUGGGUGACGGUGAAUGUUGGGGUACACAAAAACUUAAGGAUGGUUGAAUGCCUACUUUACCAAAUUAAGUAAAUAAAUAAGUAAAUUAGGUGUAAUAAUAAAAUAAAUGAUUAUACCAAAAAAAA